AGUGAACGCUGGCGGUAGGCCUAACACAUGCAAGUCGAACGGCAGCACAGUAAGAGCUUGCUCUUACGGGUGGCGAGUGGCGGACGGGUGGGGAAUACAUCGGAAUCUACUUUUUCGUGGGGGAUAACGUAGGGAAACUUACGCUAAUACCGCAUACGACCUACGGGUGAAAGCAGGGGAUCUUCGGACCUUGCGCGAUUGAAUGAGCCGAUGUCGGAUUAGCUAGUUGGCGGGGUAAAGGCCCACCAAGGCGACGAUCCGUAGCUGGUCUGAGAGGAUGAUCGGCCACACUGGAACUGAGACACGGUCCAGACUCCUACGGGAGGCAGCAGUGGGGAAUAUUGGACAAUGGGCGCAAGCCUGAUCCAGCCAUACCGCGUGGGUGAAGAAGGCCUUCGGGUUGUAAAGCCCUUUUGUUGGGAAAGAAAAGCAGCAGGUUAAUACCCCGCUGUUCUGACGGUACCCAAAGAAUAAGCACCGGCUAACUUCGUG
rnacentral:rRNA from 1 species